rnacentral:misc_RNA from 1 species
CUUGUAUGGUUUCCUAGAAAAUUUGGGAAAAAGGAAAUUUGUGAUUAGGAUGCCAUUAUUAAUGUAUUGAACUGACUAUCUGUCCUCUUAUGGGUCAAUAUAUAAUUAGUAAUGGGAAAGUUGAACAUAAAUUUGCUGUUAGCAUUUUGGACUUUUAUCCGCAUUUUUUUCAGCAAAUUAUGGUGGCUUUCAUAAACUCAAUAAAGCACAACUCUACUUUAGAUUACAGUUUGUAAAGCUAGGGAAAAUGAUUUCAGCACAUCCAAGGCUAAAAGAGC